UUUUUUUUAUUUGGACCAGUAGUUCCUGAGUUCAAAACAAGCACGCUUCGGUUUUAUAAUAUUAUUAUAGAUUUCAAGUUUUACAUAUAAAUAUAUAGAAUUAAAUAGUUUCUUUGUUCAUUUUUACGAAUUUAUUUAAGAAACUGUCAGAAAAAAAAUACUGAAAUCUUGAGUCAAAUUUUGUUUUAAUUCACUGAUAUUUAUGUAAAUAAAUUAGAAAAUUAGA
rnacentral:misc_RNA from 1 species